rnacentral:rRNA from 1 species
AUUCGGCCAGCCUCUCGCCCUCCUCUGCCCUAGCUCUCUCCAUCCUCCUCCGAUACACCCAUAUGGCACCGUUCACGCGCCCAGCCCCACAAACCACCGACUCCCCUAGAGUUACACCCGGAAGCUACGUCCCCCAGAGGGGCCUGGUGCUGAAGCGGGUGCUCAAAAGCCUCCUCUCGUGGCUGCCGCGCCGCCGCCGCCGCCACCGGGCCGGGCGCCCCCGUCACGGCAAGGGCGGCGCCGCGCCGCCGGGCCGUCGUGGCACGUACUAACCAUCAACCACCACCUCUCCUCAAGUGGAGUGUAUCCGUCAAUAUAUUCUGCAGGUCAGGUCAAGUCGUACACGUCAAGCCCGGGCCGGCGUCACAACCGGCGACGACCGAGACUAGUCAGCGAGUCAAGCUAUCGGGGGUGCUCAGGAUGGUGGCAGAAAACCAAGUGUUGGAUCCGGCCUCCAGUCGUCAGUCAACUUAAUA